rnacentral:rRNA from 1 species
GUUGUCCGGAUUUAUUGGGCGUAAAGCGAGCGCAGGCGGUUAGAUAAGUCUGAAGUUAAAGGCUGUGGCUUAACCAUAGUACGCUUUGGAAACUGUUUAACUUGAGUGCAAGAGGGGAGAGUGGAAUUCCAUGUGUAGCGGUGAAAUGCGUAGAUAUAUGGAGGAACACCGGUGGCGAAAGCGGCUCUCUGGCUUGUAACUGACGCUGAGGCUCGAAAGCGUGGGGAGCAAACAGGAUUAGAUACCCUGGUAGUCCACGCCCUAAACGAUGUCGAUUAGCUGUUGGGCAGCUUGACUGCUUAGUAGCGUAGCUAACGCGUGAAAUCGACCGCCUGGGGAGUACGGUCGCAAGAUUAAAACUCAAAGGAAUUGACGGGGACCCGCACAAGCGGUGGAUGAUGUGGAUUAAUUCGAUGCAACGCGAAGAACCUUACCUGGUCUUGACAUGUACGGAACCCUCCAGAGACGGAGGGGUGCCUUCGGGAACCGUAACACAGGUGCUGCAUGGCUGUCGUCAGCUCGUGUCGUG